AACGUAGGUCACAAGCGUUGUCCGGAAUUACUGGGUGUAAAGGGAGCGCAGGCGGGAGAACAAGUUGGAAGUGAAAUCCAUGGGCUCAACCCAUGAACUGCUUUCAAAACUGUUUUUCUUGAGUAGUGCAGAGGUAGGCGGAAUUCCCGGUGUAGCGGUGGAAUGCGUAGAUAUCGGGAGGAACACCAGUGGCGAAGGCGGCCUACUGGGUACCAACUGACGCUGAGGCUCGAAAGUGUGGGUAGCAAACAGG
rnacentral:rRNA from 1 species